rnacentral:rRNA from 1 species
GACGAAGGUGGCUAGCGUUAUUCGGAUUUACUGGGCAUAAAGCGCGCGUAGGCGGCUUGGCAAGUCGGAGGUGAAAGCCUGCAGCUCAACUGCGGUGUGCCUCCGAAACUGCCGGGCUUGAGUGCGGGAGGGGUGAUUGGAACUCCAGGUGUAGCGGUGAAAUGCGUAGAUAUCUGGAGGAACACCAGAGGCGAAGGCGAAUCACUGGACCGCAACUGACGCUGAGGCGCGAAAGCUAGGGGAGCAAACAGG